UACGUAGGGGGCAAGCGUUGUCCGGAAUUAUUGGGCGUAAAGCGCACGUAGGCGGAUCGUUAAGUCGGGGGUGAAAUCCUGGAGCUCAACUCCAGAACUGCCUUCGAUACUGGCGAUCUUGAGUCCGGAAGAGGUGAGUGGAACUCCUAGUGUAGAGGUGGAAUUCGUAGAUAUUAGGAAGAACACCAGUGGCGAAGGCGGCUCACUGGUCCGGUACUGACGCUGAGGUGCGAAAGCGUGGGGAGCAAACAGG
rnacentral:rRNA from 1 species